UCGAACGUGUACUUGGCGCAAUUAUUAUGAGAGAAUCCGUUUUUCGUGGAUUGUAAAAGUCUUUAAAGAGGUUCAAGCGUUUCGAAAUGAAACAAAAUAUUUAUCUCUCAAAUUGUCUUGUUAUAUUUUUUGUUUACUUAGAAAUUGAAGAUUCUACCGAGGAGACUAAAAAAAAUUUUAUUCCAUUUUUUAUGUUUUCAAUAUUGGCGCCACACAACAGCUGUUUCUGUCAGCGUUGCCAAUGCGUUUAUCCUCUAUAGAGGACAUAUAUGUCGCCUCAACUUAUUAACCACUAAAACGAUUUUUCAACUAAAUUUUUCUCAUUGUUUUUGACGAUGACAAUAAAUUUUAAGUAUAGAAUUUGACUCUACACUUAUUCAACUUUCUUAUAUCAGUUUUGAGAGCUCAAAGUUGGAAAAUCGACAGCAAAAAAAUUCAUAUUACUGGGGCAUAGUGUUUCUGUCAUGAGAGCCCAUAUAUAAGGAAUUAAAAAACACGAUUUUAAAUAAUUUUUUUACCAAUAACUAUACAGUAAAUCCUCAAAUAAUUUUAAUAUCAAGUUAUCUGGAUUUGUUCACCUGAACGUAUCUAUGAAGGCAACAUUAUUGGAUGGAAAUGUGAAUGAUACCAUUUGUUUUAAACCAGUUAUCGUUAAUCAUGGAAACGUUGCAACUGCCACGAAAGUUAUGAACAGUGGUAAAGUAAUUCACCAAGAACUUCAACUAGCUCCGAUUAGACUUUCAGGAGUGGAUCCUGUUGAAAUCAAGUGGAUAUUUUCCGAUGAUUGCAAUUCAACAGACGAAAUCGGGACAACGGUUGUUGUCUGAGACCAGGACUAUGCGGGUGAAUCCUAAAAUUUCCCGCUGUUUUCAAGCUUCUUGAGCUCGAAAUCGUUAUUGUGAAUAAGUUUUCGAGCUCUUCAAUUAAAAAAAAAAAUAUGUAAACUUAUUCUACCACCUGACUUAUAUAAUAAUAAGAAAUU